CAGCCGCCACGGUAAUACGGAGGGAGCUAGCGUUGUUCGGAAUUACUGGGCGUAAAGCGCGCGUAGGCGGUUACUCAAGUCAGAGGUGAAAGCCCGGGGCUCAACCCCGGAACUGCCUUUGAAACUAGGUAACUAGAAUCUUGGAGAGGUCAGUGGAAUUCCGAGUGUAGAGGUGAAAUUCGUAGAUAUUCGGAAGAACACCAGUGGCGAAGGCGACUGACUGGACAAGUAUUGACGCUGAGGUGCGAAAGCGUGGGGAGCAAACAGGAUUAGAUACCCCAGUAGUCCCUGUCUCUUAUAC
rnacentral:rRNA from 1 species